UUAAUAUAAAAUGAAAUAAAAAAACAAAAAAAUAAAUAAAUCCAUGUGGGCUGCCACGUGGACUUCUGCAUUUUAAAAUAAAUUCAAAUAAAAAAAAUUCAAAUUUAAAAAUUAGCUAAAAAUUAAAUUUAUUUAAAAUACAAAAUUUAUUUAAAAUAAAAUUAAAAAUAAGUUUUAAAAAAAAACCUUA